rnacentral:lncRNA from 1 species
ACUAGCAUUAAGACAAAAAUCUGUAAUUUGGUUUCGUAGAUGUACAAAGAGUUCUGGACGCUGCUAAGUUAUGAAGUUGUGAUUUUUAUAGUUAUGUGCUGCAAUAUCUAGCCUUCUUCAAAUGUUGCUCGGGAUAUUGACAUGCCAAAUUAGAUGCGCACAAGCACUGGGUGAAAACAUCCACAAACUAUAAUCCAAUAAACUUUUGCAGUGCUGUCAAUUGAAGUAAUAAAAGAAUAUUAUCAUGCUGUAAGAGAAAGGACAUUAGUAAUCCUAUAUUGAUUGUAAAUCAAGAGAAGUUAUAGUUUAUAUGGAACGCCUUAUCUCCUCUGUAAAAGCAUCUUUUAAAGAAUAAAAUCAAGAAACCCCAUACUUUAGUGGCUAAAGAUCGAAAUGGACAAUAUUUCACAUAAAUAUCGGCACCUAUGCACCGUAGGGCUGAUGUGCCUCCGACGGAUCGUGGAGAUUGGUCCAUCCAAGCUACGAGUCCUUAACCGCAAUAAAUAUUAUACAUGAACCAUUUAUUUAAUAGGUUCCUGCCUCUAACCUAUCUGAUUUCCAAUCCACAUUGAUCGCAACAAUGGAGCUUUAUGCGGAACCUCGAGCUCCAGUAUCCGAAGUGUUGCUCCUUUGUGAGAUAAAGAUUUCUCAAUGGCUGUCACAUAAACAGAC